AAUGCUGCCAGCCUGCCCCUUCCCUCUCAAGCCAGCUCCUCUUCUUGCAAGGCUCAGGUCUGCUACUGCCUCUUCUCCUUCAUCCUGCUCCUCUAUGCCUAUUCCCUUGCUCUGGCUUUCUUAUGCUUCCCAUCUUUCCUUACUUCCCCCCAUCUCUUGCAAUUUCCCUCUCGUUGUCUAUCUGAGGACGGUUGUUGGUGCUAUUUCUGUUUCCAUGCACGUGAAAUGGCUUUGCUGGAUCCGUAUGUUCGUUGCUUCCUAGUGUGAGCAACCCCAUGGAGACAUCCCUUAUUUAGGCUUUUAAUUUCCCUGUUAUUUUCUAGUCCGUCAGAGGUGAGCUUCAUAUCUCAGAUCUUGUUUAUGCGUUCAUGGAGCAAAUUCAGCCCUUUCGUAAGGGAAGGAAAUAUGCCAGUAUUGGCGUUUUCCAUCAAGCCACAGCGCUGGGAGUGUGCUCUUCUUCUGCACAGAGCUGUGAAUCCAACUCGUGGUUUCAUCCAAACCUGUGAGGCUGAAGGACAACAUAAGAAGAAAAUCACAUGCGCGUACAUGGCAAAGUUUUCUGUCCCAGGCUGUGGGAGCAGAUUUGUUGAAAUGUUUUUAAAGAAUUCUAUCUGCUCGAUGCUAAGAGGAGCCUGUUCGUGCUUAAUAAAUGGGAGAAAUUGCUCAAAAAUACUUCCUCCAUAUGAAAGUGCGAGCCCUGUACUGCUGCCAAGAGACGUGAGACCUGUGGUGUCAUGCCGAGAGUGUGGGUUUGGAAGCUGAAGCAUCUGAGAAAAGGCAUUUUUAGUGCUGGACCAGACUCAGACACCAAGGAUGCUCCAGGGGAUGAACUCAACCAAACUGUCUCCAUGUGCCCAGUUCUACAGGUGAAGGCAGCCGUAGCUUUAGUGCUUUUAUUUCUCCCUUUUCCUGAGGAUAAGUGAAAUCCCCAGCCACCUCCUGCAGCAGCAGACUUGCUCUGGAAAUGGUUUGGUUCGUGACUUGGAUGAUAGGGUAAGCAGCAACACCAAAUGCAGGGUUUUAUUAGAAACUUUCUCUUGUAUGUGGUGGCUCUGGUAGGUCCCUGUAGGAUUUCUUUCUCAGUUUCUCCAUAGCUGCUGCCCCUGUCCCAUCUGGAGCUAACACAACACACCCAGGUAACACUAGAGCAAGCUAAAAGCAUCACCCUGCAGCAUCCCAACCCUGCUGGGGAAUAACCUAGAGGAAAAUCUUUGCUUCUUGAGCUCAACCCUAGAAAGCGCUUCUUGCUAUGCAUCUCCCUCCACCAUCCCUCUCUGUAAUGACACAUUUUAGCUCACUUUUAUAUUGGUUCGCUAAGCCACUGUGCUGUCUUCUUCCUUUUAUAAUUAAGCAACUUGAGAAAUCCUUUGAGGUCAAUAAAUUCUGAGGAGGCUUACAUAAAACAGAAUAUAAAGUGGAGAGCCCUGCCAUCAGAAGCCAGUAAAAGUCAGCCUCUUUGCACGACACCUCUGCAAAUGGCAUUAUGUCAUUGCCUAAUAUUAGUAAGAAACAGUAAAAUUAUGGUUUUUGUUCAGAGCUAUAAAAAGUAAUGAGUCUCACAUAAUUUACUGAAGGGAAGGGGAGAGGAGAGAGGGGAGGAAGGUGGCUGUAAAAGUGAACUUCCAUUUUUUUGGGCAUCCUGAGUGCAUUAGGAAAUCUAGCUUGUAACACCCAAAUAGACUUUAAUGUGCUCUGUCCCGUGGACCUGAUUUAUUUUGUUGUGCUUUGCUUGCCAGGAACACACACACACAAAAUCUUUCAGGAGUCAGGUGGUCUUGUUUCGGUAAAUACAACAGAAUAAUCAGAAGCUGGAAAAUAUUAUGGGGUGGGUGAGGAUGGUGUUAUUUGUCUUGGGUCAUGGUAUGUGGUGAGAGCGGCUGGGAUGCUGCAGAUCCCAGCUCAGUGAAGCCCAUGGUAUUAUUCUCCAUCUUUACAAACAGGGUGACAUAUUUCUGCAGCUAAAUAUUUACUCUCUCAUCGCAGGAAUGUAAGUGCCCAAGCAACAGAUCUGUGGAGUCAUUCAUUUUGGAAGAGGAAGGAAGCGACCCUCUAAGGGAGGCUUUGUGCUGCCGACCUGAAUACAUAGGUUGUGUGGGAGUUAAAUACGAGCUGUGAGGGCUGGGGAUGCAGCAGACCACUUCCCUGCUGUGAGCCAACACGUUCAUGAGCAAUAAUCUAUAAUAAGGACCGGGCUUUACAUGGAGAGCCAAGCACUGUAGGAGAUGGCUGCUUGGCUUUUCAUCCUGCUUGGUCCUAGCGAAGGUGGAAGCACAUGGAAACAGGGUGGGAAACAACCCCUGCAGACUGCACUCUGUCAAUGCCAAUACUAAAUCUCAGACUGGGGCAAGGAGGGGGGAAAUAUUUUAGCAGUGAUAUUGUGCAACUAAAGGAUAGGAAGGCUUUUUUUUUUUCACACACCAUAACUGUUCACUAAUGCAUGCAUGAACUAACUGUCCUUUCUGUCAAGCUCCUUCAUUAGUAUUCUUUUUCUUUCUGUACUGGAGUUAGGCUGAAAGAGAGAUUAUACCGAAAGUUGGCUGGCUAUCAGUUGGUCCAAUUUUAUGCGUUUUAAAAUGUGUACUUUUUAUAGGGCUAAAAAUUGGUCCAGAGCCUCUAUGUAAGCAGCAGCUACAGGGGCUGGUGGCUGUUAGUUCUCUCUUUGAAUCCCCAAUUGAUUCUCGUCUUGGGAUAUUCAUCCCAAAUACGUGCAAGUCCCUUGAACACCACUGAGCUUUUCUGGAGCUCAUCAGUGCUGAUGAGUGGGGAACAGCCCAAGAGCCAUCAGCGACAGCUAACGUCAAGAUGCGAAAUAAUCAAUAUUAAUGCAUGGAAGUGCAUAUCCAAAAAGCCAACAGAUACAGUGACAGCCCUAGAAGGUGCUUCAGCAUGGUGAGUUAUAAGUGGUUCUGGGUUGGGAAAGAUGAAGUUAUCAAUGUGCUAAGCAACGUCUUGCCCAUUUCUGUUCCUCCAUGCUCUAGUGACACGAAGCUCCUGUUCUCCUUGGGAUACUGCAGUCCUACUUGACCUGUAUAUGUCUGAAGUGUAUUUUCUUUAUAUAUGUAUUUUCAAGAGAUCACUAUUAUUUUCUAACUUGCAUUCCUGGCACCUCAUAAUUUUUCUUACAUUUCUCUGUGUGGCAAAUAAAAUUGGUCA